AAUACGGGGCGCAGCAGUGGGGAAUAUUGCACAAUGGGGGAAACCCUGAUGCAGCGACGCCGCGUGAGUGAAGAAGUAUUUCGGUAUUUAAAGCUCUAUCCUCCUUUAAGAAAAUUACUUUACCUUACUAAGAAGCCCCGGCUAACUACGUGCCAGCAUCCGCGUUACUACGUAUUUGUCAAGCGUUAUCCUUAUUUACUUUUUGUAAAGAGAUCGUAUGUGUCAUUUGAAUCCAUAAUUGAAAACCCUU
rnacentral:rRNA from 1 species